GAAGGUAUAGCUCAGUGGUAGAGUGCAUGCUUAGCAUGCACAAGGUCCUAGGUUCAGUCCCCAAUACCUCCU
rfam:Camelus ferus unplaced genomic scaffold scaffold1713, whole genome shotgun sequence.